CUUCGGCCCUGGCAGCAGGUCCCCUCCACCUGUCCCACGGCCACGGUUCCUGCCUCGCUACUUCAGUUUCAAGUUGUUCCUUGUGAAGGUGUUGCGUGCAGGUCUGUGGUGAGGACACCAAUUUGGGGGUCCAGCUCCUUGCGUGAAUGUGCAAGGAAUUUAGAACCUGCAUCUUUAAUAUAACAUGCUUACUGAAGCUGAACCUGAGCUGCUGCUUAAUUACUGAACCUGAUGAAUACGAAGCCACUCAGACAGAGCUGCAGUGUUGUGGCUAUUUGAGAUUCAUGGGGUUAAGAGGAUAUGUGAGAAGGAAAAGGAUUCUGAGCUAUGAGUAGAAACUAGCAACACUCAACUGUAGCAAAACAUUUGCAGCUUCGGUGUAAGACUGAAUCUUCUGAUGAUGAUUAGCUCUUUUGGUGUU